rnacentral:rRNA from 1 species
GAAGCCGGAAUUGCUAGUAAUGGCAGGUCAGCAUACUGCCGUGAAUACGUUCCCGGGCCUUGUACACACCGCCCGUCACACCAUGAGAGUUGGGAAUACCCGAAGCCUGUGAGCUAACAUUAAGAGGCAGCAGUCGAAGGUAGAAUCAAUGAUUGGGGUGAAGUCGUAACAAGGUAGC